GACGAACGCUGGCGGCGUGCUUAACACAUGCCAGUCGAACGGAAAGGCCCUGCUUUUGUGGGGUGCUCGAGUGGCGAACGGGUGAGUAACACGUGAGUAACCUGCCCUUGACUUUGGGAUAACUUCAGGAAACUGGGGCUAAUACCGGAUAGGAGCUCCUGCUGCAUGGUGGGGGUUGGAAAGUUUCGGCGGUUGGGGAUGGACUCGCGGCUUAUCAGCUUGUUGGUGGGGUAGUGGCUUACCAAGGCUUAGACGGGUAGCCGGCCUGAGAGGGUGACCGGCCACAUUGGGACUGAGAUACGGCCCAGACUCCUACGGGAGGCAGCAGUGGGGAAUAUUGCACAAUGGGCGGAAGCCUGAUGCAGCAACGCCGCGUGCGGGAUGACGGCCUUCGGGUUGUAAACCGCUUUCGCCUGUGACGAAGCGUGAGUGACGGUAAUGGGUAAAGAAGCACCGGCUAACUACGUG
rnacentral:rRNA from 1 species